GAUGAACGCUGGCGGCGUGCCUAAUACAUGCAAGUCGAGCGAACGGACGAGAAGCUUGCUUCUCUGAUGUUAGCGGCGGACGGGUGAGUAACACGUGGAUAACCUACCUAUAAGACUGGGAUAACUUCGGGAAACCGGAGCUAAUACCGGAUAAUAUUUUGAACCGCAUGGUUCAAAAGUGAAAGACGGUCUUGCUGUCACUUAUAGAUGGAUCCGCGCUGCAUUAGCUAGUUGGUAAGGUAACGGCUUACCAAGGCAACGAUGCAUAGCCGACCUGAGAGGGUGAUCGGCCACACUGGAACUGAGACACGGUCCAGACUCCGACGGGAGGCAGCAGUAGGGAAUCUUCCGCAAUGGGCGAAAGCCUGACGGAGCAACGCCGCGUGAGUGAUGAAGGUCUUCGGAUCGUAAAACUCUGUUAUUAGGGAAGAACAUAUGUGUAAGUAACUGUGCACAUCUUGACGGUACCGAAGCAGAAAGCCACGGCUAACUACGU
rnacentral:rRNA from 1 species